UUGACAAGAACAGAGCAGCACACAGAGAAACCAGCUUGAACGCAUCUCUGCCCACAGUGCUUAAAUCAAGAAAGAAAAAUAAUCAAAAGUGGUUCUGAGGCCCUGGAAAGUUAGAGUUGCAUCCUAGAUUGCUUCUUGUUAGAGAGCAGAGACCAGCAGAAGCCAGGAGUCUGAGAAGAUAUUUGUCUUUGCCCAGUGGCUGUUUGAACAGCCUCUGGACUUGGUGCAGAGGGAAUAUCCAAGCUCACCGAUGUCUAGAAUCACAACCUGAGACCGUAUCACAGCUGAUAAGAGACAAUGGAAACAGAAGAAGGUGCCGAGGAAGGCAGAAGCAGCUCUGUCUUAGCCUGAGAAUGCGCGCUACAGACUGAAGAUAAGCAGGCUGCAAGGAGACCAGUUGACAGGUCAAACAGCAGGAAGGAAGGGCCUUUAGAUGAACAGCCAACUCCAUCUUACCCUAGACUGCAAGGCUCUAUCGUAUUGACUCAGGGAGCAAAAUGGUUUCCCUGUGUGCCGGAGUCUGUUUAUUCAGUCAGGCCAAAUAAGCAAGUGUGUUUGUGUAUGGCAAGUAUGCAGCAAGCUAGCAAGGUU